rnacentral:rRNA from 1 species
GACGAACGCUGGCGGCGUGCUUAACACAUGCAAGUCGAACGAUGAAGCCGGAGCUUGCUCUGGUGAAUUAGUGGCGAACGGGUGAGUAACACGUGAGUAACCUGCCCUUGACUCUGGGAUAACUGCGGGAAACUGUAGCUAAUACCGGAUACGACCCUCGGAGGCAUCUCCUGGGGGUGGAAAGAAUUUCGGUCAAGGAUGGACUCGCGGCCUAUCAGCUAGUUGGUGAGGUAAAGGCUCACCAAGGCGACGACGGGUAGCCGGCCUGAGAGGGGGACCGGCCACACUGGGACUGAGACACGGCCCAGACUCCUACGGGAGGCAGCAGUGGGGAAUAUUGCACAAUGGGCGCAAGCCUGAUGCAGCAACGCCGCGUGAGGGAUGACGGCCUUCGGGUUGUAAACCUCUUUUAGCAGGGAAGAAGCGAAAGUGACGGCACCUGCAGAAAAAGCACCGGCUAACUACGUGCCAGCAGCCGCCGUAA